GGCAGCCAAGCUGAAAGGGGAGAUAGGCCAUAGCCAUGGGAGGAGGAUAAGGAGGAGAGUUGAAAGAAGGGUGGGGAUAGGAAGGGCUUGAGGAUGCUGUUGGAGUGGGAGAGUGGGAAAAGAAUGGAUCUCUUUGGUUGGUUCAAAGGGAACAAAUUUCUUUCCUACUCCACCCAUUCCUGCAAUUUCCUUAGGUUUCUCCCUUUCCCUUUCCACUUCUUGUUGGAAUUUUUGGUUGAAACAGAAGGUGUUGAGGUGCAAUUAAUUGUGGAGAUGUUUGCAAAGUGUUGUGUUGGUGAAGAAGAACAAGUGAUUGAAGGAGGUGGAACUUGUGUCCAAGUCAUUGCUAGGUUUUGUUGAACUUGAGAUGAAUUGAUGUUGUAUUUGUAUGUAACUAAGUACUUGUAUUCAGCGGCAGCCAAAAAUCAGUCAAUGAGACAAGUUUUGAAUGCUUAUUUUUGUACCGAGUCCGAAGCUAAACACGAGAAAGGGGUUCAAGAGCUUUGCCGGAAUUAAUAAACAAGCAAA